GUGUCAGCAGCCGCGGUAAUACGUAGGGGGCAAGCGUUGUCCGGAAUUAUUGGGCGUAAAGCGCGCGCAGGCGGCUCUUUAAGUCUGGUGUUUAAGUGCGGGGCUCAACCCCGUGACGCACUGGAAACUGGGGGGCUUGAGUGCAGAAGAGGAGAGCGGAAUUCCACGUGUAGCGGUGAAAUGCGUGGAGAUGUGGAGGAACACCAGGGGCGAAGGCGGCUCUCUGG
rnacentral:rRNA from 1 species